CUGAGGAAACAAUUCUGAAGUUUCACAUUCCCUGGCUAUUUGUUCCCUUAUUCACAAGCAGAAUCACUGGGCUGUCUGCAGAGCCCAUAUAUGCUACUACAAAGUUUCAGCAUGCAACAGUCCUAAAAACAUAAUGUCCACAGGGAGUGAACACUGCAUUUCGACUGUAUACAGCCUGACUAGGACCACAGACUAGAGAAGGAAGAGUGUCUCAAGGAGCUCAACUGUGCUGCAGAGCUCAUCAUCUGCAAAAUAGAUCACUCAUCAUCUGCAAAGAACUUGGAGAACCUGAAGCGACAUACACAGGAAAAUUGCCAGUCCUCUGUUCAGUAUUCAUGUGUUUCCCAAGCAACUACCUACUGACAAGCAAUUACAUCCAAUUUCUUAAUAGCAGAAAGCGGGAGGACUAUUCCUGCAUGAAAAAGCCCAGGAUCAUCUGGAGGCUUCGUAAGACCCUUGAAGUCACUUGACCUCCUACUUUGCUGUGGCUCACCUUCCACAACUCACAGAAAUGAAUGUACUUCAGCAAAGAUUAUUAUUCAUUCCUUCAAACCCACCUCCACUUCUAUUUUGCUUGCUGUGCUGACAACAUACAGAUCUCUACAAAGCUACUAUUCUGGCCAUUGAGCAUGAAGUUGCUGCACUUAUGAACUCAAAAACCAUCAAUCAGUUUGAGAACCUAGACGUUCAAAGCAUAAAUGGGAUUCUGGAUAUGCAAAUGAAGAACAAUAACAAGUUGAUUAGUUAAUUAAUAUUUCUUCACAGGAUAAGUUGAGUACAGAAUGUGUUAGACAAAAAUCAUUUUGGAGAAAGGCAGGGUAUAGAUAAAGAUUUCUUCAUACUGAGCAGGAAAAGAAAACAUUUUCAACAGUAUAAAGUCAACAUUAAAACAAUAUUUUAAUAAAACCAUAGAAUGGUUUGAAUUGGAAUGAAACCAAGAUUAUCUAAUUCCAACUCCCCUGCCAUGGACAGGGACACCUUUCUGCAGAAUUUACUUCCAAAAACAGGUUUUCACAGUUGCCAAAAAUAAAAAGUACACUCUAUGGCUAUAGAAGAAACACUGUGUGUUCAGCCUGCUCUGCCAACUAAGCUGAUACUCCAAACCUUCAAGGGCCUCAGAAAAUGAACAUAGCAAAUACAACUACUUACGUUUGUCACAGGCAAAAAAGUGGCAUGAUGACCAACAGUUGGUGUGAACAGUCAAUAGCUGGAAGUCACUUUAACUCGCUUUGCUACAGGUAUCAGAUAUAAUAAAGAUCUCAGUUCUAUAAACACAUAGAAGGGCCCUGGAAUUUCCAUAUCAGUCAUAAAUGAAGCCCGAUGAGAAUUAUCACAAAAACAGAG
ensembl:lncRNA